rnacentral:rRNA from 1 species
CUAUCUCAUGUUCAGCUAAUACCUGACACACCUGAUUCCAUCACUUGGAAGCUCACCAAGGAUGGUCAUUAUUCAGCUGCAACGGCUUACAGUGUGCAAUUUCUUGGUUUAGUCGAUACGGACUUACCACGAAUGGUUUGGAGAAUUUGGGCUCCCCCAAAAUACAAAUUCUUCGCUUGGCUAGUCAUCAACAAUAGAAUCUGGACGGCAGACCGGCUUCAGAAGCGGGGAUGGCCUAAUUACAACAUGUGCCCCCUUUGUAAGCAAGUUCAGAAAUCGGCGGCUCAUCCGCUUUUCAAAUGCCGAUACAUGGUUAGAGUGUGGAACAUGAUUGAGGUGUCUUCAUGA